rnacentral:lncRNA from 1 species
UUCACAUAUAAAAAUAACCCAUCAUUGUUUUCUUAUGCCCAUCUAUAUCUGCUGCUGAAGUGUUUGUAGAAGCUGUACAGUUUUUUGCUGGAAGAAAAAAAGAGAUAUGGGGCUGCCCAAGUUUUAUCUCCUACCUUUGUUGCUUCUGAUUGUUGUUUUUGCAUCAAAGAAAUCUUCAGCUGUUGAAGCAAGGCCACUUUCCAUCUUGCCACAACAAGGUAAAAGGGUUUGAUAAAAACAUGUACCCCAAACUCUCUCUGUUUUUCUGAGUUCUUGAUCAAAUUGUUUAACCAGAUGUCCCGACUGAAAUCAAUUGUAGGAUAUGCAAAGGUUUUUUCAACACUUGGAAUUGCUUGCGAGUGCUGUGAUGGAGCUGGAGGUGAAUGCACAAGUACAUGGACUGAGCCUUGCACUAGGCUCAAAUGUCUUCCUUGGAAACAUUAUUAAUAGCUGAAGACUUCUUUUUCUUCUUCUCUUUCCAGUUGUAAAUAAAAAUAUCUUACAUAUAUAUAUAUUCUCUAAAGGGGACGAUGGGACGCCAUGUAUUUUCUAGUAUUUUUUUUGCUUUUUUCUUUGUUUAAAAUAGCUUAGUGUGCGGACAUUCGGAUGAGAGAAUAAAUAUAUAUAUACUAGUGGAAUUAUAUUAGUUUCUUCUUUGGUUUCAGUUCU